rnacentral:rRNA from 1 species
AUUGAACGCUGGCGGCAGGCCUAACACAUGCAAGUCGAGCGGAUGAAGGGAGCUUGCUCCUGGAUUCAGCGGCGGACGGGUGAGUAAUGCCUAGGAAUCUGCCUGGUAGUGGGGGAUAACGUCCGGAAACGGGCGCUAGUACCGCAUACGUCCUGAGGGAGAAAGUGGGGGAUCUUCGGACCUCACGCUAUCAGAUGAGCCUAGGUCGGAUUAGCUAGUUGGUGGGGUAAAGGCCUACCAAGGCGUCGAUCCGUAACUGGUCUGAGAGGAUGAUCAGUCACACUGGAACUGAGACACGGUCCAGACUCCUACGGGAGGCAGCAGUGGGGAAUAUUGGACAAUGGGCGAAAGCCUGAUCCAGCCAUGCCGCGUGUGUGAAGAAGGUCUUCGGAUUGUAAAGCACUUUAAGUUGGGAGGAAGGGCAGUAAGUUAAUACCUUGCUGUUUUGACGUUACCAACAGAAUAAGCACCGGCUAACUUCGUG